AUUGAACGCUGGCGGCAGGCCUAACACAUGCAAGUCGAACGAGUGGCGGACGGGUGAGUAAUGUCUGGGAAACUGCCUGAUGGAGGGGGAUAACUACUGGAAACGGUAGCUAAUACCGCAUACCAUCCGAUGUUCCCAGAUGGGAUUAGCUAGUAGGUGGGGUAAAGGCUCACCUAGGCGACGAUCCCUAGCUGGUCGGAGAGGAUGACCAGACACACUGGAACUGAGAAACGGUCCAGACUCCUACGGGAGGCAGCAGUGGGGAAUAUUGCACAAUGGGCGCAAGCCUGAUGCAGCCAUGCCGCGUGUAUGAAGAAGGCCUUCGGGUUGUAAAGUACUUUCAGCGGGGAGGCGUUACCCGCAGAAGAAGCACCGGCUAACUCCGUGCCAGCAGCCGCGGUAAUAC
rnacentral:rRNA from 1 species